rnacentral:rRNA from 1 species
CCGGCUGAACUUAAGCAUAUCAAUAAGCGGAGGAAAAGAAAAUAACAAUGAUUUCCCUAGUAACGGCGAGUGAAGAGGAAAGAGCUCAAAGUUGGAACCUGUUUGGCUUAGCUAAACCGGAUUGUAAACUGUAGAAACAUUUUCCAGAUACACUAGAUUAAAAAGUCCUUUGGAACAGGGCAUCAUAGAGGGUGAGAAUCCCGUCUUUGGUCUAAGUAGUUGUCUAUUGUGAUAUGUUUUCAAAGAGUCAGGUUGUUUGGGAAUGCAGCCUAAAUUGGGUGGUAAAUCUCACCUAAAGCUAAAUAUUUGCGAGAGACCGAUAGCGAACAAGUACCGUGAGGGAAAGAUGAAAAGAACUUUGAAAAGAGAGUUAAACAGUAUGUGAAAUUGUUAAAAGGGAACCGUUUGGAGCCAGAUUGGCUUGAUUGUAAUCAACCUAGAAUUCGUUUUGGGUGCACUUGCAGUCUAUGCCUGCCAACGACAGUUUGAUUUGGAGGAAAAAAUUAAUAGGAAUGUGGCCUUUCGAGGUGUUAUAGCCUAUUAUCAUACUCUGGAUUGGACUGAGGAACGCAGUGAAUGCCUUUAGGCAAGAUUGCUGGGCGCUUUCGCUAAUAAAUGUUAGAAUUUCUGCUUCGGGUGGUGCUAAUGUUUAAAGGAGGAACCCGCUUAGUAUAUUUUUUAUUCGCUUAGGUUGUUGGCUUAAUGACUCUAAAUGACCCGUCU